CACGGCGCGAGGAGGCGCGCGCCGCCGCUCCGCGUCCCGCCUGCGGCCCGUGCCCACGGCGUCGCCGCCGUCCGCCCGCCUGCCCUCCUGCCUGCCCGCCUGCCGUCCUUCCGUGCGGGGAGCCAUGGAGGGAGUGAGCGCGCUGCUGGCCCGCUGCCCCACGGCCGGCCUGGCCGGCGGCCUGGGGGUCACGGCGUGCGCCGCGGCCGGCGUGCUUCUCUACCGGAUCGCGCGGAGGAUGAAGCCAACGCACACGAUGGUCAACUGCUGGUUCUGCAACCAGGACACGCUGGUGCCCUACGGGAACCGCAACUGCUGGGACUGCCCCCACUGCGAGCAGUACAAUGGCUUCCAGGAGAAUGGUGACUACAACAAGCCGAUCCCCGCCCAGUACAUGGAGCACCUGAACCACGUGGUGAGCAGCACACCCAGCCUGCGCGACCCGUCGCAGCCGCAGCAGUGGGUGAGCAGCCAGGUCCUGCUGUGCAAGAGGUGCAACCACCACCAGACCACCAAGAUCAAGCAGCUGGCCGCCUUCGCUCCCCGAGAGGAGGGCAGGUACGACGAGGAGAUCGAGGUGUACCGGCACCACCUGGAACAGAUGUACAAGCUGUGCCGGCCGUGCCAGGCAGCCGUGGAGUACUACAUCAAGCACCAGAACCGCCAGCUGCGCGCCCUGCUGCUCAGCCACCAGUUCAAGCGCCGAGAGGCUGACCAGACGCAUGCGCAGAGCUUCUGCUCCUCCGCUGUGAAGUCCCCAGUCCAGGUCAUCCUGCUCCGUGCCCUUGCCUUCCUGGCCUGCGCCUUCCUACUGACCACUGCACUGUACGGGGCCAGUGACCCCUUUGCCCCAGGUGCCACCGUGCCCUUGGCCCUGCCACCUGGUGGCAAUGACUCAGCCACACCUGACAAUGGCACUGCCCCUGGGGCUGAGGGCUGGCGGCAGCUACUGGGCCUGCUGCCCGAGCACAUGUUGGAGAAGCUGUAUGAGGCCUGGGCCUUCGGGCAGAGCCAUCAGACGGGCGUCGUGGCGCUGGGCCUGCUCACCUGCCUGCUGGCAAUGCUACUGGCGGGCCGCAUCAGGCUUCGGAGGAUCGACGCCUUCUGCACGUGCCUAUGGGCUCUGCUGCUGGGACUGCACCUGGCCGAGCAGCACCUGCAGGCCUCGCCCAGCUGGCUGGACACGAUCAAGUUCAGCACCACGUCUUUGUGCUGCCUGGUUGGCUUCACAGCGGCAGUGGCCACAAGGAAGGCGACAGGCCCACGGAGGUUCCGGCCCCGAAGGUCCUUCCCAGGAGACUCUGCUGGCCUCUUCCCCACCAGCCCCAGCCUGGCUAUCCCUCACGUGAGCGUCGGAGGCUCUCCAGCGUCUCUGUUCAUCCCCAGCCCGCCCAGCUUCCUGCCUCUCGCCAACCAGCAGCUCUUCCGGUCUCCUCGACGGGCCUCGCCCUCCUCAUUGCCCGGCCGCCUCAGCCGGGCCCUCUCGCUGGGAACAAUACCCUCUUUGACUCGAGCAGACUCAGGCUAUCUGUUCAGCGGUAGCCGCCCACCAUCUCAGGUGUCUCGAUCUGGGGAGUUUCCUGUUUCAGAUUACUUCUCUCUGCUGUCAGGGAGCUGCCCCUCCUCUCCGCUCCCUUCCCCGGCGCCCUCCGUGGCCGGCUCCGUGGCCUCCAGCUCCGGCUCUCUGCGCCACCGCAGGCCCCUCAUCAGCCCUGCCCGGCUCAACCUGAAGGGACAGAAGCUGCUGCUGUUCCCGUCACCCCCUGGAGAGGCUCCCACCACACCCAGCAGCUCCGAUGAGCAUUCGCCUCACAACAGCAGCCUCUUCACCGUGGAGCCGCCCCAGGUGUCCCGGAGGCCACCCCUGCAGGACACGAAGCACGCCCUGGUUGACCUUCAGGGUCCUCUGUUCCUUGGAACUGGUCGAAAACACACCACGCAUUGCCAGACCUGAGAUCCAAGCUGGAAAGAGGCAGCGCCUGCAGCGGCCGCUCCAUCAAGAAAGAGGACGACUCUUCCCAGUCAUCCACCUGUGUGGUGGACACCACCACCAGGGGCUGCUCAGAGGAGGCCGCCACCUGGAGAGGUCGUUUUGGCCCCUCCCUGGUCCGGGGCCUCCUGGCCGUGAGCUUGGCUGCCAACGCCCUCUUCACCUCGGCGUUUCUGUACCAGAGCCUGCGCUGACCCGCCGUCAGAGCCCCUCGGAGGGGAGCAACCCGGUGCCUGCUGCUUCACCACUGCCGGCCUCAGGACCCUCCCUGGAGGGGCUGCCGCCUCUGCCCUCAUCUCCAGGGCGCUUGACCUCACUGGACUGUGAGCUGUCCUCAGGACACCUGCCCCUCCUCCCUACCGGACUGUAGGGCUGUGUGUCUGGGGUCACACACUCUGCCUGCCACCUCCUUGGCUGACAUCGGUUGUGUUUGGUGCUGACACUGAUCCCGAAGCCAGGGAGCCCUAAGGGCUGCAUGACCCUGGGGUGCCCCCCAUGUUUAGCCCUGCCUGGCAGGGACACCAGUACUACUGUAUCUGCAGCAGGAGCUGCCCGGCCUGCCUUCUAGCCCCACGACCACAGGCGUGGUCACAUCUGUGUACUGUACUCCCCUGUCCCACCUGGGGCCACCUCAGAGCCCCACUAAGCUGAAGGCCCCCUGGGGAAGAGGGUGGCAUGGUCCUUGUUGUCUGCCCCAUCUCGCCCCUUCCUGUGGGGUGGGCAGGAUGCCCUGGAGCCUCAGAGCUCCCGGGCCUGAGCUGCCAAAGCCCAGCUGGGCUUCCAGGACGAGUGCAGGCCCCUGCCCUGCUCCCCCCUGCCAGAUGUUCCCCUGCUUUGUGACCUCUGUUGACCUUCCAGGAAGCAGCCCCAUUACCCCCAAGAAUGCAGAGCCCUGGCCCGCCUUGCCUCGUGUUUCCAGGCCUGCACGUCUGGUCAUUCAGCUCUGCAUGGAACUGCAGGGCAGAGUGGCAGGGGGCCUUCAGAUCUCAGAUGAGACUGCACCCCUUUGCCCACCCUGCUGGGCACCUGCCUCCCUUCAGCCCCUGAGAACCCUGUCCUCCCCUGGUUUUCCGGCCCCACUCCCCUGAUGGGGCUCCUUCCUGGCACUGAGAAGGGUCCUCCUGAUGCUGUGAGGCAGGGGUAGGGACUGUGCACCCAUAGCUAUCAGAGCCCCCACCCUCACCCCUGCCAUCCCACCCUGGACCUCAACACGAGCCUGGGGCAGUGCGUGUCUGCUGGUCACGUGCUCGUGCUGGCUCUCUCGGUGAUCUGAGACUCACUGCAGGGCGGGAGGAAGGGUCUUCACUCUGCCAUUCAGGGAUAAAGUUUAAUUUUAUUUUUCUACACAUUUUGCCAGGUUGGGCAUUUUGCUAGUAAGCAGGAUGCCCCCAACUCUCCCUGCCAUGGAGGAUUCGUUUUUUUAAGCUUUGGGUGCUUUUUUAAUACUUUUUUUAUGUGGGGAAGGAGUUUGCUCUGACGUCACCCUCCUCUCCCCCGACUCCUGUCCUGAGAGAUAUGGCUGCUGCCUCCUGCCCUGCCCACCCCCUAAAACGUGGGGGGUGGGGGCCUGGGUGGCCUCAGGACUUUUGAGUCCAGCUGCCAGCAAGGGUUCCAACUCGGAGGCAGCACCUACAGUCCCCAUUUUUGUAUAGUGGGUGUGUGUGCGUCGAGUUUUUUUUAUUUUUUUGCUUAAUAAAACCAAACUCCAUUCUCCAGUGCCCUUCCUCUCUGGCUCUGAGGGCACUCCCUCCUCUCCGCCAAGCAGCCUGGCCUCUCCUGCCUGGACCUGCGGUCCCAGCACCCCCCAGAGCCAGGGGACAGGCCUGGCAGGAGGGGCUUUUACUUAUGUUUUGUUUCAAACAGAAAACACAACCUUAUUUUUCUUUACAAAAGCAAAAAAGGAAACCAAAAAAGAUAGAGCCUCUGAAUCAUG